rnacentral:rRNA from 1 species
CGCGAAUUCGCCCUUGUCCAGCAGCCGCGGUAAUACGUAGGGUGCGAGCGUUGUCCGGAAUUACUGGGCGUAAAGAGCUCGUAGGUGGUUUGUCGCGUUGUUCGUGAAAACUCACAGCUUAACUGUGGGCGUGCGGGCGAUACGGGCAGACUAGAGUACUGCAGGGGAGACUGGAAUUCCUGGUGUAGCGGUGGAGUGCGCAGAUAUCAGGAGGAACACCGGUGGCGAAGGCGGGUCUCUGGGCAGUAACUGACGCUGAGGAGCGAAAGCGUGGGGAGCGAACAGGAUUAGAUACCCUGGUAGUCCACGCCGUAAACGGUGGGUACUAGGUGUGGGUUCCUUCCUUGGGAUCCGUGCCGUAGCUAACGCAUUAAGUACCCCGCCUGGGGAGUACGGCCGCAAGGCUAAAACUCAAAGGAAUUGACGGGGGCCCGCACAAGCGGCGGAGCAUGUGGAUUAAUUCGAUGCAACGCGAAGAACCUUACCUGGGUUUGACAUGC